UACGGGGGGGGCAAGCGUUGUUCGGAAUUACUGGGCGUAAAGGGCUCGUAGGCGGCCAACUAAGUCCGACGUGAAAUCCCCAGGCUUAACUUGGGAACUGCGUCGGAUACUGGUUGGCUUGAAUCCGGGAGAGGGAUGCGGAAUUCCAGGUGUAGCGGUGAAAUGCGUAGAUAUCUGGAGGAACACCGGUGGCGAAGGCGGCAUCCUGGACCGAGAUUGACGCUGAUGCGCGAAAGCCAGGGGAGCAAACGGG
rnacentral:rRNA from 1 species